AUUGAACGCUGGCGGCAUGCUUUACACAUGCAAGUCGAACGGCAGCGGGGAGGAGCUUGCUUCUCUGCCGGCGAGUGGCGAACGGGUGAGUAAUACAUCGGAACGUGUCGAGAAGAGGGGGAUAACCACCCGAAAGGGUGGCUAAUACCGCAUAAAUUCUGAGGAAGAAAGCUGGGGACCUAGGAAUAGGCCUAGCGCUUUUUGAGCGGCCGUUGUCGGAUUAGCUAGUUGGUGAGGUAAAGGCUCACCAAGGCGAAGAUCUGUAGCGGGUCUGAGAGGAUGAUCCGCCACACUGGGACUGAGACACGGCCCAGACUCCUACGGGAGGCAGCAGUGGGGAAUUUUGGACAAUGGGGGCAACCCUGAUCCAGCCAUGCCGCGUGUAUGAAGAAGGCCUUAGGGUUGUAAAGUACUUUUGUUAGGGAAGAAAAGUCAGCUGUGAAUAAUGGCUGAUACUGACGGUACCUAAAGAAUAAGCACCGGCUAACUACGUG
rnacentral:rRNA from 1 species